rnacentral:rRNA from 1 species
CCUACGGGAGGCUGCAGUGGGGGAUAUUGCACAAUGGGGGAAACCCUGAUGCAGCGACGCCGCGUGAGUGAAGAAGUAUUUCGGUAUGUAAAGCUCUAUCAGCAGGGAAGAAAAUGACAGUACCUGACCAAGAAGCCCCGGCUAACUACGUGCCAGCAGCCGCGGUAAUACGUAGGGGGCAAGCGUUAUCCGGAUUUACUGGGUGUAAAGGGAGCGUAGACGGUUAUGUAAGUCUGGAGUGAAAGCCCGGGGCCCAACCCCGGGACUGCUUUGGAAACUGUGUAACUGGAGUGCAGGAGGGGCGGGCGGAAUUCCUGGUGUAGCGGUGAAAUGCGUAGAUAUCAGGAGGAACACCGGCGGCGAAGGCGGCCUGCUGGACUGAAACUGACGUUGAGGCUCGAAAGCGUGGGGAGCAAACAGGAUUAGAUACCCUAGUAGUC